rnacentral:lncRNA from 1 species
AAGUUACCAAGGAAACUAUAUUUCCUACAUUGAUGGAAAUGUAUGGAAAGCAUACAGUUGGACCAAGAAACUGAUCUUACCUAGCCAUAUGGCCUGCUGCCUCUGCCAAUUUAAAAAUAGCAUUGAGGCUGUCUGCAAGACAGUCAAGCUGCAUUGCAACAGUGCAUGUCUGACAAACACCACACAUUGUCAUUUAGGCUUGGGUGUGUGUUUCUCCUCUCUGAAUGGCACUCUAAUGUUUGCUGACUCCUACUUUGUGUGACUGGGGCAUACAGCUGUGG